rnacentral:other from 1 species
CCCUGCCCGUGUUGUGAGGGCUUUAAAAACUCUUGAACCUAACUUCACAUCUUGGGAAUAGAGAGUUAAAUGAUCUUGUUGUGCAUGCCCAUCUUGUCAUGGGAAGCCUGAAAGGUCGCUCGACGUACCCACUUGAACCACCCGGUUCAGAGAUGUCGCCGUAGCAAAAUAGGUAGGUG